ensembl:snoRNA
CUGCACUGCUCAGUGACCAACUGGCCUUUCCCUGACCUCCUUGGUCUCAUUGCAGUGCAAGAGAAACUCCUUCUAGCAGAAGGGCCAGGCUCUCACCAUGGUCUGUCCCUUUCGAAAGCUGGGUACAGUC